AAAAGAAAAGAAAAGAAAAAGAAAAAAAAACCCAGUGCCUUACUUAGCUGGACACACAGAUGAAUUAUGUUUCCUGUAUUACCCCUGUAGCUGUGGCCAUGUGACUGAAUACAAGCCAUGGAACAUGAGUUUUGAGGAAAUACUUAAAAAUAAAUUUCCUGCCAACCCAGAAAACACCUCCACAAAGGUUCUAUACACACGUGGACAAAAUUUCAAAUAUUAAAGGACUCUGUAGUCAACACCGUUGGUGCCCACGCAGGUCUUCCGCCUGGCCAGCACACCCAUUCGAGGCUGCUGAGUCUUGGCUGUUAGGGCUCACAGCUGCAACCUUCUCCAGAGAAUUGCUCUUGGCCAAGUGGGAUCUGCUUCCCGGAGUGAUUGCCUCCCACCCCCAGGUGCAACCCACAGCCAAUAAUUGACCCAAUGCAUGGGUACAAAAAGCUGGCUCUUCUGCCUCAAGGUGGGAUCAAUACUUGGUGGCAAUUUGUGCUCCUGCUUCCACGGUGUGAACAGAGACAGAGACCGUGAGCAGAGACAGGAGCAGACGGACAGAGAGAGAAUCUAAAGCAGACUCCAUGCUCAGCACCGAGCCUCAAGUGGGGCUCAUUCCCACGACCUGGGAUCAUGACCUGAGCUGAAAUCAAGCUGGACACACUACCAACUGAGCC